GGGGAAUUUUGGACAAUGGGCACAAGCCUGAUCCAGCCAUUCCGCGUGCAGGAUGAAGGCCCUCGGGUUGUAAACUGCUUUUGUACGGAACGAAACGGCGCUUUCUAAUACAGAGCGCUAAUGACGGUACCGUAAGAAUAAGCACCGGCUAACUACGUGCCAGCAGCCGCGGUAUUACGUAGGGUGCAAGCGUUAAUCGGAAUUACUGGGCGUAAAGCGUGCGCAGGCGGUAAUGCAAGACAGAUGUGAAAUCCCCGGGCUCAACCUGGGAACUGCAUUUGUGACUGCAUUGCUGGAGUGCGGCAGAGGGGGAUGGAAUUCCGCGUGUAGCAGUGAAAUGCGUAGAUAUGCGGAGGAACACCGAUGGCGAAGGCAAUCCCCUGGGCCUGCACUGACGCUCAUGCACGAAAGCGUGGGGAGCAAAC
rnacentral:rRNA from 1 species